CAAACAUGCCCCCAUGAAAGCAAGGAUGUCUGUGAAAGCAGGAAUUGAGAAAUUGGGCUCACUACUGAAUAUUCCCUGGGAGUUAAUCAGUCCUGCCACAGAAUAGAAGCUCAGUCUGCUGGAAUUUGCCGGGGGUCCACUCCAGACCCUGUUGGCCUGGAUAUCACCAACGGAUGCUGCAGAACAGCAAAGAUUGCUGCCUGCUCCUUCCUCUGGAAGCUUUGUCCCAGAAGGGCUCCUGCCAAAUGCCAGCUGGAGCUCUCUUGUGUAUGAGAUGGGGCCUCCACGUGAAAAGUAACUACAAAACAGAACCAGAAAAUAGUCAUGCUGUUCAGGUGAGUUGGCAUAUCACUUCAUGCUACUUUGAAAUAAAAUUUCCUCUUAUUUUCUUAUGGA
rnacentral:antisense_RNA from 1 species